rnacentral:rRNA from 1 species
GUGGGGGAUAUUGGACAAUGGGGGGAACCCUGAUCCAGCGACGCCGCGUGAGUGAAGAAGUAUUUCGGUAUGUAAAGCUCUGUCAGCAGGGAAGAAGAAAGUGACGGUACCUGACCAAGAAGCCCCGGCUAACUACGUGCCAGCAGCCGCGGUAAUACGUAGGGGGCAAGCGUUAUCCGGAAUUACUGGGUGUAAAGGGAGCGUAGACGGUAAUGUAAGUCUGGAGUGAAAGGCGGGGGCCCAACCCCCGGACUGCUCUGGAAACUAUGUUACUGGAGUGCAGGAGAGGUAAGCGGAAUUCCUAGUGUAGCGGUGAAAUGCGUAGAUAUUAGGAGGAACACCAGUGGCGAAGGCGGCUUACUGGACUGUAACUGACGUUGAGGCUCGAAAGCGUGGGGAGCAAACAGGAUUAGAAACCCUUGUAGUCC